rnacentral:rRNA from 1 species
UACGUAGGGGGCAAGCGUUGUCCGGAAUCAUUGGGCGUAAAGAGCGUGUAGGCGGCUCGGUAAGUCCGCUGUGAAAGUCCAGGGCUCAACCCUGGAAUGCCGGUGGAAACUGUCGAGCUAGAGUCCGGAAGAGGCGAGUGGAAUUCCUGGUGUAGCGGUGAAAUGCGCAGAUAUCAGGAGGAACACCGAUGGUGAAGGCAGCUCGCUGGGACGGUACUGACGCUGAGACGCGAAAGCGUGGGGAGCAAACAGG